AAAUGAUGAUGAUGAUGAUGAUGAUGAUGAUGAUCAUCAUCAUCAUGGUGGUGGUGAUGAUGAUGAUGAUGAUCAUCAUCAUCAUCAUCAUGGUGG
rnacentral:pre_miRNA from 1 species